rnacentral:rRNA from 1 species
GACGAACGCUGGCGGCGUGCUUAACACAUGCAAGUCGAACGGCAAGGCCCUGCUUUUGUGGGGUGCUCGAGUGGCGAACGGGUGAGUAACACGUGAGUAACCUGCCCUUGACUUUGGGAUAACUUCAGGAAACUGGGGCUAAUACCGGAUAGGAGCUCCUGCUGCAUGGUGGGGGGUGGAACGUUUCGGCGGUUGGGGAUGGACUCGCGGCUUAUCAGCUUGUUGGUUGGGUAGUGGCUUACCAAGGCUGUGACGGGUAGCCGGCCUGAGAGGGUGACCGGCCACAUUGGGACUGAGAUACGGACCAGACUCCUACGGGAGGCAGCAGGGGGGAAUAUUGCACAGUGGGCGGAAGCCUGAUGCAGCAACGCCGCGUGCGGGAUGACGGCCUUCGGGUUGUAAACCGCUUUCGCCUGUGACGAAGCGUGAGUGACGGUAAUGGGUAAAGAAGCACCGGCUAACUACGUG